GUUAGUGUCGCCUCCGGCUUCAGCAUGCGUAGUCCAACCAAGAUGGGCGUAGUUAAACAUGGCGUAGGUAACAACUUCGUCCGUGACAAUGACGGCUUGGAAAGUGUUUGUCUAUAACCAGCUGACAUUCUUCCAGGUGGCAAUAAUGGCGUGUUUUGGAAAAAAGUUUGGUUCGGAAAAAGCCUCCCGAAUGUCCCACUUAAUUCUCUCUCUCAGUUUAACACCUGAUUCAUCGAAUCUAGCGGUUUAGUUGAACGAUGUUAACUGGUUUUAGCCUACCGAAAGUAAACACCAGGCGCCCUCUUGUCUUGAUCGCUCUCCUUCGCUCUACCAAUGCGCCAGCGACUGUAGAAAGGGCUGAUAAACGAUGGACCGUUAUCUACUGGCCAAGUUUGAACGGGGAACUGCAGGGGUGGCAAUGGGGGCGAUCCCAUUGGAUCACUGAAGCUGAGGAAACCAUGGAUAGAAAUCUGGUACGGGCAAAGUCAUAAUUCACUAAUUACUUGAUAAACUCAAUGCAGGUGACAAUGAGAUCAACUUACCCAUAUGGAAUCAAACUUCGAACCUGAGAAAGGAAGCCAGAAAUUGAGUUGCUUCUGAACUUGGGCGCUAUUGUCGUUGAUCUCCCUCACGCGAUCACCAUUUUCCCCGUUCGCGUCUUUGUCGUAAUACGGGUACAUGUUCUCUUUACGGAUUUCAUCUAGUUCCUCUUUCUUCAAAUCGUACGACUGUUGAGGUUGGUAGGCGGGGUCAUUUAAUUGGAGUUGCCUUUCAACUCGAGAAGGAGCCAAUCUGGAUGUCAUAAGAUCUUCAAAAUCCAAAUUUAAAAAGAAUUAGGAAAAAGAUAGAAUAUUGGUUUACCGUUGUUUAUUUUUGCCGAUUCGAUAUCAAAAUCGUCCUCACACGGGCCUUCCUGUUCGGAAGCAUUUGCAGUCAACAAGCAUGCGGCCAAAGCCACAAAAACAAAAAUCUUACAUCGAUUAUCCAUGGCCUUCAACUUCUGAGUUACUAACUGUUCACCAACUAGCCCUACUUGUAAAAUGAUCGAGUAUUUACAAGGAGAAAAUUUUUUUAGUAAUGACAUCCACAGCACUAAAAUUCUUAUCUGAAAAAAAAAAACUACAAUACACAACAGAAGAAAUGGA